rnacentral:lncRNA from 1 species
UUAAAAUGAAUAUGUGAACCGAUAUAAUGUGUCCUUGAAAAUAAUUUUGAUAAAAAAUGAAUUUAGAAAGGAAACAAUACAUAAGUAAAGCCUUUACCAUACCCAAUUUCGUUUUUAAGAAACAAAUUUUAAAUGUUCAAAACUCAGGUGGUAAUGAAUAAAUAUUAUAUAUAAAAUAAAUUCCUAAAAUACUGCUUUCAAUUACUGUUCUAAACGUGACUCACCAAAACAACAAAUCGUGAAGACCAAGCAAAAUAGAAAAGUCACAGUGACCUCUCC